rnacentral:rRNA from 1 species
AUGGCACCGAAGCGGAAGGGUGGCAAUGGGCGGCAGAAGACCAUCAUGCGGCGGGUCGAGAAGGAGGGCGCCCGGCAGGUAUGCUUCACCAAGCGCCGGCAGGGUCUGUUUAACAAAGCCAACGAGCUGGCGGUGAUGUGCGGCGCCGAGGUAGCCGCCAUUGCCUACUCACCCGCUGGCAAUGCUUUCUCCUUCGGCCACCCCUCCGCUGAGGCCGUC